AUUAACUCGUAGCGUUAUGAUUAAAGUGGAAAGAAGAACUAUUUCUUAGUUUUUACACUCCUUUCGUUAAAAAUUGAAUUUUUUUUGUUUGCUUGAUGUAGAAUGUGCAGAUGCGGUGACCCCUGGUAAAUAAAUGCAAGUUUGUAUUCGUACCACUCCAAAAAAGUUGCAUAGGCAACAGCAGUAUUAUUUAUAUAAUCUCAGACAUAAUUACCAAUCCCAAGAGAAAACAGCAGACUUAAUCUUUAAUUAUUUCACAAAUAUAACACCGGGGAUAAAUCCGGAGAAAACAAAUGUUGAAUACGGACGCAGGCAGAGCUCUUGCAUUUGUGUUGCGUAGCUGGAGGGAUUUACGGGGACUUAAUUCCUUAAAACUGUCCUCUCGUCCACAUGACGCUCAAACUGCAAGUGCUCAAGCUGAUAUACCCAAACGUAUCAAGAGAUGAGUGCACCGCAUAGCCAUGGGGCUAGAUUAGGGCCUUUUAUAAGACAUGUAGAAUACACGUGAAACCAGUGUGGAGUGGCGCAACGAGGAGGUGAAUUUGGUACCUUGAAAAAUGUUCAAAACAACACGUUGCCAAUAUUCACUUCGAGAAAUGUCUAUCUGGAUUCUUCUGUGUGGGAGGAAAGCCGACUCUAUCAUAACAGCUUUAAGACUAUACAUUUAAGAUAUCCUGAGAAGUAGGGAACCUGACAAGCACCCGGGUGACUCGAGAAGCACGGACAAAUGAACUACGAUACACACAGAGAGAGGGAAAAAAACUUCAACUCUUCAAGACAAGAUAGAAAGCUUCAGUUGUGCACCUGCUAUUGUGGAAUGCCCUGCAGACGAUGACAGCCACCAUUAUCCUGGUCCAAAUGUUUUGCAAGCUCUGGUGGGCAAAAGCAAAGUGGACAUCAUCUGAUGUUAUCUUGUGUGAAUGUUUGGAGGAGCACAGUUGGAGAGGAUCAGUUUCUUUACAGUUUUAGAUUAGAGCGUCUUUAGUGUCUUUUCAGUUAUUUUGCACUUUGUUUGAUUGAUGAAAAACAAAACCAAAAAAAGAGGAUUUUCUUUUAUUAUUUUGUCUGACCGGGGCCAAGCAGCAAACAAAUGGAUUCAAUUAAAAGCCAUCCUUCCCUUCAAGUCAUCAAUAUGAGGCAAAGUAAGCCCUCCACCAAACUGACAAGGACAAACAAGUACACACAAGGGGACACUAAACGUUCUUUCAGUCAUGCAUAAACAUGCUUUUCUCUCUGCGCUCUUGCUCUCACUCACUUUCAUACACACACACACACACACACACACACACACACACACACACACACACACACACACACACACACACACACACACACACACACACACACACACACACACACACAAUACAAAGGGCCUCAAGGUGAACUUGGUGUAAGAUCUACACUCAGAUGUGCAAUUGCUCCAAAUGAACAACCUUUCCAAUUGAACAUAUUCCGCAAAGGAAGAUCUAUAUUUUGUGAAGCGUGCAAGGUGUGAGGUGUGUGUUGUGCGGUGGAUCCUGCCCUGCAGUGUGGGCUUCGCUUCUUUUGCCUCUCACAGUUCAAAGGCAAAGGAACAGAGAGGGUCGGAUUUAUUCAGGCUUUAUGUGCUAAAUGCUUGGAUGCCUUUCUUGUAGUCUGCAAGGCCCUAAGAUCACAUUUAGGAAACAUGCUAUUGUGAGGUUGGCUGUGAAAUCCCCAUAAUAAAUUCACCAAACAGGCACAAGCAAUGGCUAUUUAUGAUCGUAGCCAUUUUUUUUGCCUUCCAGGUAAA